AAACCAGUAGAAACGUUGCUAAGGAGAUGAUCCAAGCAUAAAACGGUGAAAGGAUUUAGACAGAGAGAAGCAUUGGGAUUCUGUGUAUUGCCAAUGAGAAAGAGGCUGAAGAGGAUGGAAUUUAUUGACGACACAAAGUACUGAAGUUGUUGAAGAUUUAAUCGCAAAAUAUUUGUACUACUACAUGAGCUAUCUUUUUCUCUUUUACCCCUAUCCACCUUUUUUCCUAAACUCGUCAAUUAUUAUUGCGGCUCUAGAUCUAGCUAGAAUUUUUUGUGUAUUAUGGAACUGAGAUUGGAAUGCACGUCGACUCACAAACGAUCUCGCAUUUAUACAUAUUCAAUGGGAUUAGUUAUCCUUUUACAUCA